GUUCUGUUUAAGAAACUUAUGAAAUUGCAAUGAUAUAGAUAGUUUAUCAGAACAAAGAGGGCAAAAUAUUCCCCAUAAAAUAUUAAUUCAUGUGUUAAUAUCAAAAUUUUCUUUAGAUCAAACAAUAUUUCCUAAAGAGAGCUAUUACAUUAUUAUAAAAGGACCAAUUCAACAUUCAAACAUAAAAUUCUAAACAUCUAUGAACUUGGCAAUGGAACUCCAAAAUGCAUGAUAUAAAUUGGAUAGGUGGCAUGUACCAAUGCCAUCUCACCAGUCCAAGUGAUCAAUUUCAGUUCACAAUUGAUCAUAAUGAAAGGACUAAGAGUCAAAGGAAGCACAUAAACAAGUCUAGUACCUGCUAAUACUAACUGAUAGAAUAAAUAAAGGGGAGAGUGAUCCAACAUGGGAAGUGAGAUACUCAGCAGACUCAUAGAAUGGUGGAUGUCCUAAACAGCACUCUGGACUCAGAAUCAGCCCUAAAGGCAUUAAGAUCCGGCUGAAAAGCCCAUGAGAGUAUUUCAGGCAUGGAAAGCCAAGACACUCUGGCCAAAAAAAAAAAACAAAAACAAAACAAAACAACAAAAAAAAAAACACCCUAAAUGAAAGAUCUCUGUGAGUGAGAUCCCAGUGGAAAGAACAGGUCUUCAAAGAAGGAGGUACCUUUCUCUGAAGGGAGGAGAGAACCUCCACUUUGAAUAUGACCUUGUCUAAACAAGAUAAGAGUCGGAGAACUCAGAGGGCUUCCAUAGCCUUGGAAACUCAUGACUGGUGCAUAGGGAGAUUACUGAUGCCAUAAACAGGAGUGUCAAUUGGUAAAGUCAACAACAGGAGUCACUGUGCACUUACUCCUCAUGUAGGAUCUCUGUCCUUAAUGUGCUGUACAUUGAGACUUAAUGCUAUAACAAGUACUCAAACAGUAUAUUUCGCUUUGUGUUUCUAUGGGGGUGCAAACUGUUGAAAUCUUUACUUAAUGUAUACUAAACUGAUAUUCUGUAAAAAAAAAAAAAAGAAGAAAUUAGCAAUUCCCAACUUGACUCUCACUGGGAUUAAACAUGACAAUAGGUCUGAUCUGAUUUCAUCAUCAUUUAAAAAAAAAUCAUCUAUUAUGUCACUUUAUGUUUCUGUGUGGGAGCAAACUGUUGAAAUCCUUACUUAUGUAUACUAAGCUGAUCUUCUGUAUAUUAAGAUAAUCGAAAAUGAAUCUUGAUGUGAAUGGAAGGGGAGAGGGAGUGGGAAAGGGGAGGGUUGUGGGUGGGAGGGACGGUAUGGGGGGGAAUCCAUUGUAAUCCAUAAAUCGUACUUUGGAAAUUUAUAUUCAUUAAAUAAAAGUUAAAAAAAAAUUUUCA
rnacentral:lncRNA from 1 species